CGACGAUCGCUACCGCUUUGAAAAAGAAAUCUGAUUUCUUUUUUCAUCGUUGCUUUUAUCAGACUGUAAUCCGACAGUUCAAUUUUACUAUUUUACUUCGUGCAAACGGUCGGGUUCUACCGGACCGGAUAUGCUACAACCUGAAAUCUUGCAAUCCCCUUUAAUCUGCAGCGCAACCGCGCAACUAAAUGAAAUUCAGAGAUAACAAGCAACUAGUCACCCAGUUGCUUUCUAAGACAGCGAUCUGAGAAGCAGGAACUUUCAAAAACUGAAAAGGGAAAGGAUAAAGACAGUGGAAAUGUUCAGGAUAACAUGGGAAGAAACUUUUGGCACGACAAAGACAUACUCGCGGAAACUUGACAUCGACUUGGUCCUUCUUUUUUUCAAAACGAUAAAUUCGGGCCACCGGCUUCUGCCUCUCCGAAUGUAUUCCGGAAUAUUGUGAUUUAUCGGCGUCGCAAAGGAGACGACGCGCACCGAAUGGAUUAACGUUUCGGAUGUUAUAGCUCGUUCUAUCCGGCAUCGGCCUAUACGCGGCAUAACAAUGCGAGUUUUACGUGGAAACGAGGUUAAAGAAAGGAGAAUGCAAGUCGAAUACCGAAGGGAAUAAGCAAUUUCUCUUAAAAAUCUUGUUAGUUACGAAAAAAGAAAAUUAAAUUGUAUUUAUUCUUAGUUGGUAAAACAUUAAACUUGUACAAAUUAAUGUAAAUUACCGUGUAAAGGUAAUUCAACUAUUUGAUCAUUUACCUUGAAAGAAGCGUGCAGACAGUCGAUAUCACUGUCAAUAUUUAAGCUUCUCAACGUUGUAUUGACAAUAUUAUGUUGAUCGUCUAGAGGAUCUCUUACGUGCCAUAAUGUCGAAAACUUUUAAUAUUGACAAUAAUAUUGAUCGGCCGAACGCUCCUUAGCUCUUCCCCCUCCAAUUUUUCUUCCUAGUCAUUUGUGAACUUUGAAAAAUUACAUCGGAAAUAUAGAUAGAUUUUGAAGACCAAAACAAACAGGCGGAAGAACGAAAAAUCAAUCGAAAAUUUUUCUUUCUUUACAUUCCGAAUAUAAAUAAAAUAUUAGUGAACAAAUUAAACUGUAAAUUGUACGUGAACGAGUGUCGGACGAGUCACGUACUGCCAUCUAUUGAAGAUGUAAGGAACAGCAACUUAGAGUAUGCGAGGAUAGAUGGCAGUACAUGGCUUAUCCGAAAUGUAUAGUGUCGAUAUUCAUAGCAUACCACGCAUGCACAGAAAGAAAAACUUUCUACCUUCCAUGUUGAUUUUUCAUGACUCAAUUUUUUGUACGGUUGCUUCUAUGCUUUCGAUAGGGAGAGAAUUUUCUCUCUGUUUUCGGUGCAGAAGUGUCGAGAAACGAGACUAGUUUGUUUUAUUAGGAUACCAUUAUGUAUCUAAUAUCGCGAGUGUUACAAUGGUUUCAUGAAUUAGUUCUUACCAAUUAUUCAUUUACAUAGAUAUCUAAAAGUUAUACUUUUUGAAACUGUCAACUGUUUUACUAACAUUUUUAGACUCGUUAGCCCAGUUAUAUUACAGUAAUUUGUAUUUCAUAGUGUUACAAGAGAAGGAAAAAUAAACAGAGAUUUUUUGUAAAA